rnacentral:sRNA from 1 species
GAGACUUCUCCCAAAAAGUGGUCACCACUUCUCUGCAACAAGAGAUAGAAGAGUACAGAUCUUUGUUGAAGAGGCUAGAAGAGAGGAAUGAGUUUAGCUUGCAAGAGUUUGCCCAAAUUCAAGUUUCAGGAUCCUCAACUCUGCAGGAGUUUGGCCAUGUUCAGGUUUCAGGAUCGGCAACUCUGCAGGAGUUUGCCCAAGUUCAAGUUUCAGGAUCGUCAACUCUGCAGGAAUUAGGAAAAGGUUCAGAAUUGUCAACUAUCUCUGUGUCCAAACAACAAA